rnacentral:RNase_P_RNA from 1 species
UCAGAGGGCCGGGCGGCCGCUCCGGCGGACCAGGUGGUGCGCCGGGGAGGAAAGUCCGGGCUCCACGGAGACACGGUGCCGGGUAACGCCCGGCGGAGGCGACUCCAGGGAAAGUGCCACAGAAAGCAAACCGCCCGCCGUCUCCCUCAGGCAGGCAGGCGGCGUGGUAAGGGUGAAAGGGUGCGGUAAGAGCGCACCGCCGUCCUGGCAACAGGACGGGCAUGGCAAACCCCACCGGGAGCAAGAUCGCAUAGGGACGGCAGAUGA